CCUACGGGAGGCUGCAGUGGGGAAUAUUGGACAAUGGGGGCAACCCUGAUCCAGCAAUGCCGCGUGUGUGAUGAAGGCCUUAGGGUUGUAAAGCACUUUCACUGGUGAAGAUGAUGACGGUAACCAGAGAAGAAGCCCCGGCUAACUUCGUGCCAGCAGCCGCGGUAAUACGAAGGGGGCGAGCGUUGUUCGGAAUUACUGGGCGUAAAGGGCGCGUAGGCGGUCUUUUAAGUUAGGCGUGAAAUCCCCGGGCUCAACCCGGGAACUGCGCUUAAGACUGGAAGACUAGAAAACGGAAGAGGGUAGUGGAAUUCCCAGUGUAGAGGUGAAAUUCGUAGAUAUUGGGAAGAACAUCAGUGGCGAAAGCGGCUACCUGGUCCGAUUUCGACGCUGAGGCGCGAAAGCGUGGGGAGCAAACAGGAUUAGAUACCCUUGUAGUC
rnacentral:rRNA from 1 species